ACCCGUCUUGAAGAGAGUCAUGAUUUGAAUGUAAAACACACAGUUUGCUCUGUUUCUUCACUGGGUAAAACAGAUCUUCUUGGAUCGUUUACUCACUCGGAAGUUGAGAAAGUAACUGUUGCGUUGGCUUUUUAUUGAAAGAGCUUCAUGAUGAAGGAGAGAACAACCAACAAUGUCCUGUCAAAGCGAUCUACCAAGAACGGAAGAAAAGACCAGAAGCUGCAGAAGAAGAAUAGCCAGAAAAGAUUGUCAGAACAAGAGAAACACAUUGACUCAGAUCCAUCUGAGGCUUACGAGGCGGUAGAUGUCGCUUACUUGGAUGAUGACGUAACUGAAAGAAAGGAGAAAGAAGCUCGUGAAUGUAUCAAUGCUGACGUGUGGGAAGAUGCUUCUAAUGGUGCUCUUAGUGCUGGAAGCGAGAACGAGUCCCCUGAUGUAGUACACUUUGACGAUGUAUCUUCCAGAGAGAAGAUUAAGCAUCUGGAGAAGAGAAUCGAGAGACUUGAAGAGGAGCUUAGAGAAGUUGCAGCACUCGAGAUCUCUCUUUACUCUGUUGUCCCAGAUCAUUCCAGCUCUUCACACAAGCUCCACACGCCCGCAAGGCGUCUUUCCAGAAUCUACAUCCACGCAUGUAAGCAUUUCACUCGAGGAAAGCGUGCUAGGAUCGCUACAAACUCUGUUUCUGGUCUUGUUUUGGUUGCAAGAUCUUGUGGGAAUGAUGUUUCAAGGUUGACCUUCUGGUUAUCAAACAUCAUAUCUCUAAGGGAGAUCAUUUCACAGGCCUUUGGUAAGUCUCAUCACACCUCUGAAUCAAAUGGGAGUAAGAAAGGUCUCCAACAGCUUCUGGAGGAUUGGCAAGAAACUGAAAUGUUUACUACUUCGCUUGAAACAAUCGAACAGUGAAUCUUCUCUAGAAUCGUUGAGUCUGUUUGGUGGCAGGUCUUUACUCCUUAUAUGCAAUCCACUGAAAGCAACUCAUCUGAGAAGCAAGGAAGCUUUUCUACUAGUCUAUGGAACAAUGCUUUCCGAGAAGCUCUGCAAAGGCUUUGUCCUGUGAGAGGUGCUGGACAUGAAUGUGGUUGCUUACCUGUUUUGGCUAGAAUGGUGAUGGAGAAGUGUAUCAGUAGAUUUGAUGUAGCCAUGUUCAACGCUAUUCUGCGAGAGUCAGAACAUCAGAUUCCAACUGAUCCAGUCUCAGAUCCUAUUCUUGAUUCCAAGGUUCUGCCUAUUCCUGCUGGAGAGUUAAGCUUUGGAUCAGGAGCACAACUCAAAAACGCGAUUGGCAACUGGUCUAGAUGCCUUACUGAAAUGUUCGGCAUGAACAGCGAAGAUGAUGAUGAUGAUGAUCAUGUAGAAAGUGAUGGUAAAGCCUUUGUAUUGUUAAAUGAACUUAGUGAUCUUCUUAUGCUCCCAAAAGACAUGCUUACUGAAAGUUCCAUUAGAGAAGAGAUAUGUCCAUCAAUUACACUUCCACUAAUCAAAAGAAUACUAUGCAACUUCACUCCUGAUGAGUUCUGUCCAGAUCAUGUACCCGGAGCUGUCCUAGAAGAGCUUAACUCUGCUGAGAGCAAUGGUGAUGAGACGCUACCAGAAGAAAGCUUCCCUUAUGCAGCUUCCUCAGUUUCUUACACACCUCCAUCGACCAUGAAUGUAGGAGAGAAAGUUGCAGAGCUUGCAGGGAAAAUGUCAAGGAAUGUGUCUAUGAUACAGAGCAGAGGGUACACUAGUGACGAGGAGCUUGAGGAACUGGACUCUCCUCUUACAUCCAUAGUAGACAAAUCCAGUGACGUUACUGAUUCAUUCACCUCAAAUGAAAGAUACAAGCUUCUUCGACAAGUGUGGGUUUAGUUUAGUGAUUAAAUGGAUCCAAUUAAAAGUGUAAUUAGUGUGUGUGUUACUGUGAACUAUGCCCUAUCCAGUAACCAAAACAACACAUGAAAUUACCAAUUCAAAUAGUGAUUCUUUACCUAAUAACUGAAAGGAAAAAAGGAAUGACAAUUCUUUUUUUUUACCUCU